AUACGGAGGGUGCAAGCGUUGUUCGGAAUUACUGGGCGUAAAGCGCGCGUAGGUGGUCUGUUAUGUCAGAUGUGAAAGUCCACGGCUCAACCGUGGAAGUGCAUUUGAAACUGGCAGACUUGAGUACUGGAGGGGGUAGUGGAAUUCCCGGUGUAGAGGUGAAAUUCGUAGAUAUCGGGAGGAAUACCGGUGGCGAAGGCGACUACCUGGCCAGAUACUGACACUGAGGUGCGAAAGCGUGGGGAGCGAACAGGAUUAGAUACCCCAGUAGUCC
rnacentral:rRNA from 1 species